rnacentral:rRNA from 1 species
AUUGAACGCUGGCGGCAUGCUUUACACAUGCAAGUCGAACGGCAGCGGGGGCUUCGGCCUGCCGGCGAGUGGCGAACGGGUGAGUAAUGCAUCGGAACGUGCCCAGUCGUGGGGGAUAACUACGCGAAAGCGUAGCUAAUACCGCAUACGUCCUGAGGGAGAAAGCGGGGGAUCUUUGGACCUCGCGCGAUUGGAGCGGCCGAUGUCGGAUUAGCUAGUUGGUGAGGUAAAGGCUCACCAAGGCGACGAUCCGUAGCUGGUCUGAGAGGAUGAUCAGCCACACUGGGACUGAGACACGGCCCAGACUCCGACGGGAGGCAGCAGUGGGGAAUUCUGGACAAUGGGGGAAACCCUGAUCCAGCCAUGCCGCGUGAGUGAAGAAGGCCUUCGGGUUGUAAAGCUCUUUCGGACGGAAAGAAAUCGCUUCGGCUAAUACUCGGAGUGGAUGACGGUACCGUAAGAAGAAGCACCGGCUAACUACGUGCCAGCAGCCGCCGUAA